CAGCCGCCGCGGUAAUACAGAGGUCCCGAGCGUUGUUCGGAUUCACUGGGCGUAAAGGGUGUGUAGGAGGUUGGAUAAGUCAGGUGUGAAAUCCCGCAGCUCAACUGCGGAACUGCAUUCGAUACUGUUCAACUAGAGGAUCGGAGGGGGAAGCGGAAUUCUUGGUGUAGCGGUGAAAUGCGUAGAUAUCAAGAGGAACACCGGUGGCGAAGGCGGCUUCCUGGAAGAUACCUGACUCUGAAACACGAAAGCCAGGGGAGCGAAUGGGAUUAGAUACCCCCGUAGUCCCUGUCUCUUAUAC
rnacentral:rRNA from 1 species